UUCACAUUUCUCAGCAAUUUGACAACAAAACAAAACACAGAUAUGUUGAGGCAACGAAGAAGGCGCAGUUUGAAAAUGGAGUUAUUAGUAAUGAAGUAGCAGGCAUAUUUGGAAAAUUAUGCCGAUAAGCAGGAUGGAAUUUGUGCAAGUAAGUGCCUGGUUGCAGCAUAUCUAUGUAUUAAAAUAGUAUUUAAUUAAAUGAAAUUGCGUUUAAUGGAAAUGUCAUAAAUCGAGUGGCGUUAUUUAAGAUGUGCUCCAAGCAUUUGGCGGACUUUUUUCGCCUUCUCAACGUGCUAAGUUACGAGUUAAGAUGACUACCACCACGGCCGGUAAGAAACCCGAAGCAAAGGGCAAACAACCUUACAGGAAGCUGCCUGCUGUCCCCGAGUCGUAGCUGUAGUUCAGCAAGAAGCAGGUCAGCAAACGUGCUACCUUGAUCAAGCGUAAACUAAAGCGCUCUGCUGUGAUUGCACUCGGCAAACAUGAAAACUUGGUGCAUGCUGAGAAAUAUCAAGCAAAAUAUCCGUGAUGGACGCCUUGAGAAUAAGUUUCGCCGCCUGGCAAAGAAACGCGGCUUUUGUGGUCUGCAUCCGCGGUAUCAACAAAGUUGCACCAAAAGUGCGUAAAGUUUUACUGUUCCGUUUUCGCCACAUUAAACACGGUUUGUUCAUCAAAUUGAACCAUUAAUACGCUACGCAUUGCCGAACCCUAUAUCACAUUGGGUUAUCCUAAUCUUAAAUCAGUUCGUGAAUUGAUCUGCAAACGUGCAAUUGUCAAGUACAACCAUCAACGUGUCCUAAUCUCUGACAACUUUGUGAUCGAACGCAAAUUGCGUAAAGAGCAUGAUAUUCAAAGCGUUGAUUAUUUGGCGCACGAAAUAUUCACUGUUGGAUCCCACUUCAAGAAUGCCUCCAACUUCCAGUGGCCAUUCAAAAAUAAAAUAAAUAAAAAUUUACGAAUACA